GGUUUAAUUCGAAGCAACGCGAAGAACCUUACCUGCUCUUGACAUCUCCCUGACCGGCAAGUAAUGUUGCCUUUCCUUCGGGACAGGGAUGACAGGUGGUGCAUGGUUGUCGUCAGCUCGUGUCGUGAGAUGUUGGGUUAAGUCCCGCAACGAGCGCAACCCCUAUCUUUAGUAGCCAGCGGUUCGGCCGGGCACUCUAGAGAGACUGCCAGGGAUAACCUGGA
rnacentral:rRNA from 1 species